UGCAGAUUUGGGUGUUUUUAAAAUCGGAGAAUUUGGGAUUUUUUUUUAACAGAGAAAACCAGGAUUCUUGUACAUAAGUAAUGUUUCCUCCAUUUUAACAAACUGAGGAAAUGAGAACAGGUCUGAGGUGAAAUAGCAAGUCAAUUUGAGAAGUAAGAAUUGAUCUCCUGCCUACAGUUGUCCCUUUUAUAAUCAUUAUUCUUUGCUGUCUUUGAAACGCUGAGUUUGGCCAAGCUUUGUAAAGAUAGAAGUUACAGUCUCCAUGUAAAUUGAUCUUUCCUAUUGAUUAUACUGCUUAGAUUCAUUUAAUGAAUUAUUUCCUAACAUCACAGAGAAGAUGCAGAUUUUCAAUAUGGAUGUCAGACAUUAGAGUGACUAUUAAAGGAGAUUUUCAAUAUGGAUGUCAGGCAUUAGAAUGGCUAUUAGAGGAUAACUGAAUUUUCAGUAUGGAUGUCAGACAUUAGAGUAUUCAACUAAUUGAAAUCUUUCCCAUGAACCAAAUUUAAAGAACAAGUUUGUGCCAUUUGCAGAAAUGUAUUCUGUGCCAAUGCAAAACUGCCAGAGAUGAGAGGACUAAGAAGCCAGAGCCACAGGAAAUUUCAUGGGAAAGUAGAGAGCAGAUAGGGAGACAGGAAUAGGAAAAGAGGAGGAGACUUGGCAGAAAGGAGAUUAAGAAAAAAAGGGGGGCAAGGAAGCUAGAGGGGGAUGUAAGCCACUAAUUAUGAACUGAAGAGGAACCUUCAGGCAUCAGAAACUAGUCAGUGCCAAGCUCAACAGAAGCAAAGCAACACCAAUUACUUGUGCCUUACCAGAGGCAAAUCCACAUUCAAUCAUACCACACUUAUAUCAACUCAAAGUUUUAUGUCAGCUUAAUCUUCCCCACCCACUAGCAUAUAAAAAUAUUUCUUAAGGGACUCUUUUCUCUUACUUAUAUUAAAUCUGCAUACUAGACAUUUAAUCACCUUUCAGAGUUUGAAUUAGUAAAUUUGGUCUCAGUUACACUGUAACAU